CAGCAGCCGCGGUAAUACAGAGGGUGCGAGCGUUAAUCGGAUUUACUGGGCGUAAAGCGUGCGUAGGCGGCUUUUUAAGUCGGAUGUGAAAUCCCUGAGCUUAGCUUAGGAAUUGCAUUCGAUACUGGGAAGCUAGAGUAUGGGAGAGGAUGGUAGAAUUCCAGGUGUAGCGGUGAAAUGCGUAGAGAUCUGGAGGAAUACCGAUGGCGAAGGCAGCCAUCUGGCCUAAUACUGACGCUGAGGUACGAAAGCAUGGGGAGCAAACAGGAUUAGAUACCCCCGUAGUCCCUGUCUCUUAUAA
rnacentral:rRNA from 1 species